GGCUGGUCUGAUGGUAAUAGGUUAAUGAGAACUUACUAAAGUUGGUAUAUAACCACCCACUGAUAAAUCUGACUGGCUUCAA
ensembl:misc_RNA Y_RNA Y RNA